rnacentral:rRNA from 1 species
CCUACGGGCGGCAGCAGUGAGGAAUAUUGGUCAAUGGGCGCGAGCCUGAACCAGCCAAGUCGCGUGAGGGAUGAAGGUUCUAUGGAUCGUAAACCUCUUUUAUAAGGGAGUAAAGUGUGGGACGUGUCGUAUUUGGUAUGUACCUUAUGAAUAAGGAUCGGCUAACUCCGUGCCAGCAGCCGCGGUAAUACGGAGGAUCCGAGCGUUAUCCGGAUUUAUUGGGUUUAAAGGGUGCGUAGGCGGCCUUUUAAGUCAGCGGUGAAAGUCUGUGGCUCAACCAUAGAAUUGCCGUUGAAACUGGGGGGCUUGAGUGUGUUUGAGGCAGGCGGAAUGCGUGGUGUAGCGGUGAAAUGCUUAGAUAUCACGCAGAACCCCGAUUGCGAAGGCAGGCGGCCAAGCCAUGACUGACGCUGAUGCACGAAAGCGUGGGGAUCAAACAGGAUUAGAUACCCCGGUAGUC